UACGAAGGGGGCUAGCGUUGCUCGGAAUCACUGGGCGUAAAGCGCACGUAGGCGGACUCUUAAGUCAGGGGUGAAAUCCUGGAGCUCAACUCCAGAACUGCCUUUGAUACUGGGAGUCUCGAGUUCGGGAGAGGUGAGUGGAACUGCGAGUGUAGAGGUGAAAUUCGUAGAUAUUCGCAAGAACACCAGUGGCGAAGGCGGCUCACUGGCCCGAUACUGACGCUGAGGUGCGAAAGCGUGGGGAGCAACAGG
rnacentral:rRNA from 1 species